ensembl:lncRNA
CACAGGUGCUCUGGAGUGAGUCCAGCCUUUAUGGCUGAUCCCCAAUAGAGUGAUGUGACCCUGAAGAAUGGAGAAGGUGGAAUUAGCUGGCAGAAGUAAGAAUGGAACAAACUGUGCUGUGAACAACAGGGCUGAGCCUCAAUAAAACCAGCAGGAUCCCUCCAGAUCUGUGGGAAAACUGGCAGAAUCUGACCCAGCCCGAGGCUCCUCCCUGCACCUUGUGAGAUGCUAUUGUAGGUGACAACCAGCUCUGCUCUGAAUUGCAGGAAUGCCCUGAAUGUUGAAAACCGCCUGUAGGACUGUGCCAGCAUUUUGAAAUCCUUUGGAAAGCUGAAUGUGUAAACCAAAUGGACUCUCCCCCUGUGGGUACUGCAUAAUCAGAAUUUGCACUGUGGUUGGAGCAGUAAUUCAAAAACAGUAAUAUGAAAAUAGAAAUCCAGAAUUAAACUCUGUCUAUCAGGAGAGAAAUGUCUGACAGUCACCAUUUUUUUCCUGGAGGGCAAAAGCAAGACAUCAUCUUGAAAGCCUUGGGAGGAUUGCCUGGUAGCUGCCAUCUGAAGAUGAAAUCAUAGAACCACGGAAUCAUUAAGUUUGGAAAAGACCACAAAUAUCAUCUGGUCCAGCUGUCAGCCUACCACCACCAUGCCCAUGGUCAGAAGACCACAUCAUUACUGGGAACCAAUAAGAAGAGGGAGCAUCAUGGAUUCAGUCCCUUCUCUGCUUGAGGCACACAACCCAAAUGUGCACUGGCUGUAAUAAUUUUAUUCACUACAAUGGCAAUCACAUGAACAUGGAAGAAAUAGGGGGAUGGCAUAGACUCACAGUUGUUAGUUUGCCAACCUUCCUUUAGCACCAAGGUCUUGUGUAUGUACAUCUAUUCUGUCCAAAGAAACAAUUAAUUACUGUGGUGCCCAGCUACCAUAUUCAUUAGAUAGAGCAGUAGAUUUCAAUGACAUAGGAGAUACCUUCAGUCAUACGGCUGAACUUCCCUGGAGCCAGCUGUGAUGUGUAGACAUUACUCAGACAGAGCACAGCUUGCUGCAUGUCAGACUUCUGCCCUCAUAGUAGGGGCACUAUAGCAACUUCUUUAGUCCCAAACCUGCUUUUCUUCACGUCUUCACCCAAAGAUAGACAUGAAGGCCAUACCAGACUGCGUCCAUUAAAACUCAUCUACCAGGUGGCAGAAAUUUAGGUUUGAACCCAGUAUCUCAGGUCACAACCUGAACUUCCCACCUACAUCAAAAAGAACUUCAGAAAAGGGUCUAUCUGGGAGCAGGCUGAAUUUUUCUAUUGGGGGUCAUCCUCUUAUUGCCAUAUUGAGUUUUCUCAGCCAUUUGGGAGCAUGCAAAGUUUUAAGGCAGGGCAUGAACAGCUGCAAAUAUGUUAAGAGAACAUACUUUCACAUGAUUUAAAGGGCAACAGACUGCUCUGGGAGGCUGACACUAAGCAAAGGCCAACACUCUGGGGAAAUGCAUGAAUUUGUAUCAGAAUCACUAUUACUUUUUCAGCAAAUUUGUAACUUCCUCACUUGUGAAAUGGCCCUGAAAGAAGCUCAGCUGGAGAUGCACGUACUGUAUUUUCUCAUUAGAGUUUGGCUGUCCUGCUUUCUGUUUCAAAUUGUCUUCUAAGCAAAACGCGAAGCCACCAGUUUUCCAGUGGGUUCAGCAUUUGGCAGAACGAAUUUGUUCAUUGCUAAUUAAAACAAAAGAUUUCAGAAGCUCUUUCCACUUUGGUUUAUUAGCUUUCCUGUGCGAUAGCAAAUCGGAGCCCUUGUUACACUGUCAGCAGAACUAUUAUUAUUAUUAUUUAUUAUUUACAGUACAACUUGUGAGUCACUUCCUAUGUUGGUGGAUCUUUCACCAUCUGUUAAAGAAAAUAAUAGCAGUCAUUUUCUGAAAUAUUAUUCUAAUCCAAACGUUAAAAUAGAACCAUAUGAAGCCAAUUAAAUAGAGUGUGUGUUGUUAAUCUGAGUCGCUUCAGCUCAGCUAAAGAAAAAGCAUUAAAAAAAAAAGAAUUGAGAAAGGCAAAAAUGUAAAGCAAAGAUGCAGGCUUCAGAAAUCUGUGGAGGUUCUGCCAACGUUUUCUUGGAAUUCUAAAUUUCAAAAGAAAAAAAUUGUAAACACGUCAUCUUUUAGGCUCAGUUUAGGAGCGGAUAUGGAUCCAAACCUGAAUGCAAGAUUUCAACUCCAGACCAGGCUUUAUGGGAAUCCUUAAACGACCAGAAAAUUUCUGUUUUAAUCCCUUUAAUAUUUAGUGCUCUUAGCUGUUUUUGUUCUUACUCUGAGUGAAAAAUAUAUUUGAUCUGGUUUGGUUGCCUCCACCUGAGAGUUUUAUGUAAGCUUAUGACUAAUUAACAUGAAGUUCCCAAUGGUGCUUCCAAAGACAUUGCCCCUGCCUGCAGAAGUCAAGGAGAGAUGAAGCAAAUACAUCACGAGGAAAUUAUAGUGGUCAAGCGUGAGUCUGCUGUCUCUACGGCACGGUGAUCAAUAGCAGCUUCACAUCAAACAUGUACAUGAUGGAAAUGUCCCUUGAAAACUGGUCUCCAGUAAGACAUCCUAGGCUCUGCAGAGGCUGGAGAGGAAGGCAGAAAGGCUGUUCUGUGAACAGAGCUGGGAAACAGUAGGGGCUGACCCCUGCUCCUGCCCUGCGGCAGCAACUGAGAGACACUGCUGAGCUUCUGGAUCUGAG